CCUACGGGCGGCUGCAGUGAGGAAUAUUGGGCAAUGGGCUUACGCCUGAACCAGCCAAGUCGCGUGAGGGAAGACUGCCCUAUGGGUUGUAAACCUCUUUUGUCAGGGAGCAACGCCGGCUACGUGUAGCCGGACUGAGAGUACCUGAAGAAAAAGCAUCGGCUAACUCCGUGCCAGCACCCGCGGUCAUCCGGAGGAUGCGAGCUUUAUCCGGAUUUAGUGGGUUUAAAGGGUGCGUAGGCGGAAUGCCAAGUCAGCGGUAAAAUCGCGGGGCUCAACCUCGCUCCGCCGUUGAAACUGGCGUUCUUGAGUGGGCGAGAAGUAUGCGGAAUGCGUGGUGUAGCGGUGAAAUGCAUAGAUAUCACGCAGAACUCCGAUUGCGAAGGCAGCAUACCGGCGCCCAACUGACGCUGAAGCACGAAAGCGUGGGUAUCGAACAGGAUUAGAUACCCUUGUAGUC
rnacentral:rRNA from 1 species